AGAUUACAGCUUCCAGAACGACUACCAAUCCAACCAACAUGGCUACUGGCCAUGAUAUCUGGAAGAGUCCAACAGCUGACGUACAAAGAAAGAUCAGCUUCCUCUGGCUCCCAGCUGGGCAGAAAUGGCAGUUCCUAUAAGUGAGGAUCGGGUCAGCAGCAGCAGCCCCUGUAGUCCUGGAUGGCAUACAGCUCUAGAGAUAAUGAUGAAGUGACUGGACAUCAUUAGUGGCUGGUGGCAUCUAUGUCAGAGGGGCAAUGAAGCUGCUCUAGGCUAACUUUAAAGAAGCUAUCCAAGAUGCUGAACCGGCUUCCCCAUUGCUGCCCUGCUGGCUAGGAAGCCACCAGGUAAACUGCUGGCCCUCCAAUGAGUAUAAUGGCAGAAAAGGAAUUUAAACUUGAGAUUCUCAAGUCCAACACUAUGUACUAUACCAUACUAGCCUAGGUCCAAAAAUAAACCAGCAUGUCAGUAUCACUGCAAAUACUCUGGAAACCAUCACUCAUGGCCUUUGAUAUAACAUUUGGUAAUACUUUUAAAAUAUAUAUUAUAAAAGAGAAUAUGUGAACAAUAUAUAUCUGUAGCCAAGGGUCCGUUUUAGGGGAAUUUUAUUAUUGUUGUUAGUUCAAAUAUUGCAAGA